CAGAGACAAAGGAAAACAGCAUGGCUUUGGAGGAGUGGGAGCCAGCUUCCCCGUGGGCUUUGAAGAUGCAAACUCCAAUCCUAUCAGUACGGGUUGGUUUCUGCCUGCUCCCGGUGCUUUAAAAGUAUGACUGGGGAGAAGGAAGCGCCUGAGAGUGGCUGUCAUGCCGUGGUCCUGCUGGCUGCUGGCUGCUGCUCUUUGCCAUGGCAACAGUUGUGUUGUCUUUAUUGCUUUCAACCUUUUCACAUUCUUGCUGUGCUUCCUCUUGAUUUGCUGACACAGGCUGUCACUUAGCAGUAAUAAAGCUGUCAAUGGUAUCAGCGACCAAUCUUUUAAUAUGGUAUCAGAAAGUCUGACAAGAGCAUAGGGGUGCCGGAUUUCCAAUGACAAGUUAAUUUAUUCAAAGCACUCUGAACAUUAUUUCCAUUCCUAUGGCACGCAAAUGAUGCCCAGCAAGGCUGGUGUCUGCUGGAUGGGAUGCAGACGGCGGAAGAAUUUGGCACGCGGUGAUCCUGUAGGUAUUCCAUGGGCUGAAAGCAGAAUUAACUCACUAGUGCGAGGGGAAGAUGCAGAUCCAUGCCCUUGUAUCCUCUCAGAGAUCUCCCCUAUUGCCAGAGGAAAAGCUCCAGCUGUAGUGCAGAGGCCUGGCAUCACUUUACCUCUUGGAGCACAUUAGAUUGUGUGAGAGGAUCAGCAUUGCUUCUGGAUACUAGAUGUAACCUUUUCAUCUCAGCACAGCAAAGCCAAGGAAUCGGGAUACGAGACAGCUCCUGAAGCUAGGUGCUCACCCCGGGAUUUUUUUUCUCAGUUUCAUUCAAUAAAUCAAAACAUCAGUUGCUCACAUGGUCAGUUUCUUCUACAGGAUACAUGCAGGCUGAAGGGCUGGGGGAGCAAAAACAGGAUAUUGCUGCCUUGUUUUCAAUUGGUUAUGAAAUUGGGCCACACUUCUGUUCAGGAAAUCCAGUUUUCUCCUGGAUUUCAAAUAUUGCUUCUCAAAAUUCUAUCCUGUGGAUGGAUUUCAACCAUUCCUCUUUAGCAAGUGUGUGCCAGAAGAGCCUUAUAGAAGAUGUACUCUCCAUUUUUACACUCUCCAAUACAUUCAGAAAGAGAGCUCAGGAUUAAAACGCUCCCAUAAAAAAAGGACACAUUAAGUUCCUUAUGGAAUCAUGUACCAAAAGCUACAUUUAAAUUAUGGGUUCAAGAUCAAACACUGGGAAAUCUUUAAGCAAAAAAAGAAAAAAAGAACCUUUGUUUCAUGCACUUUCACCAAGCCAGCAGGCUCUGCAUUGUGUGUCCAGCCGCUGGAAGGAGCAGCUUUCACUUCAGGCUUUUCAGUAGGACCCAACCUUCAUCUGCUGUGGGAGUUUUUUUCAGCCUCAAAAUAAAGCAAACCCCUUUUGAACUCUGAGAGUCUUCUCCAGGAUAGAAGAGUCCCCAAGUGUUAAUGCACAACAUAUUAAUACAGGGGAAAAAGAUUCCUUAGUCUCUUUUUAAAUGUUGUGUUUCUGUUGGAAGUUUCCAAAGGAAAUCUACCUGAGAGAAAUACCGAGGAUAGAAAGUAAAACUGGGUAUAAUAAUUUGCAAUAGUAAAUCUGAGGAUAUUUUUAGCUGCAUGCAUUGCUAUCCGUGGAGCCUAUCAAAACAAGAGCCCGUUUCAUCCCUCCUGUGUUUGAUGGUUCGUGUGAGAUGUUUGUGGACCAAUAUUGCAGUCAGAAAAAUGCAACCUCUUGUGAGAUGGUCACAGCACUGGGCAACAUUUCUGUUCAAGAAAUGAAAAUAGAAAAAUGCAUCAAGUGCAUCUUUGGAGUAAACUUUAGGUAGGCAGUUAAAUAUUCAGCUGGAAUGCAUUCAGGAUUACAGCCGUCUGUGGAAAACAAGUACAAUCAACCUAAAAUGCUGGAAGAGACUUUUCAUUUCUCUUUUCAUAUUUUGUUCAAAAAUAUUAAAGCAAUUCAGAGGAAAUAAUUCAAGUCUGUAAAAAUCUGUAUUGAAAGAAAAGAAAAUCACAUAACAGCUGUAGCUGAAACAAUGCUUUUGACGUAGAACACUUCUGAGAUAAUUAAGCUAAAUAUUCAGACUGUGUGUGUGUGCCUCUAGGCAAGCAUUUAAUCAUCUGUUUUUUUUGUUGUUACUGUAAGGGUAGUUAUUUAUGGUAAUUUGCCAGUGAUGAGUGGAAAGCAGUGCUGCUAAUCUUCAUCUUCCUUCCCUGUUCUGCUAGGCGUGCUGAAAUGCAGAUAACACACUCUGGUGUAUUAAUCUUGUGAAAGGAUUUAUGGUCACUGUUCUUACUGAUGCUAAUGGAGAUAACGUACAUUCACAAAUCUUGCAAGCCUCCAGAUGGUAGCCUGCUUUCUAGCAAAAGAUUUGGUUGGAUAAUAUUGAGAAAUUUACAAUUAUUUGCUACUAACUGGAGGUUCCCUGGAUAACCCAUGUAAUCUGAAGAUGCUUUGGUAAAAAUAACCAGGUUAUAGAGUAUGGCAAGUGGUUUCUCUCCAUGGUCCAAAUUCCACAAUAGCAGGCCUACUCUACCCAGAGGCUAACAUCCCAGCCUGGCACCCUGGUCUAUUCUUUGUGAGGCAGGCAAUGGAAAGCAACCAGGACAAACAGAUCUCCCUGGCAGCAGGCUAAGCAACUGCCAAGAGAUUAUAGCAGAUCCUUGCCAUGAGCUCAUCCAUAUGUAAACUCAUGCACACUUUUCCUGCCCUGCUGAAGAUGCUCUCAGGAGGAAAGGACUGAACUCUAAUCUCAGUAGUGAUGUGUCCAGGUCCAGGCUGUACCGCGGCCCACUCUCGGCCCUGUGCCAUCAUAGCAGCAGCUCUUCCUGCCCUCACCUGGCCCUGGGUGCACACGCAUAGCUAACAACGAAACAUCAUUGUGUGACUGGCACUGUCUGGGCUGGAGCCAGGGCACACAGGGGGUGCAGUGCAGUGCUAACUCAAGUUAUGGGAAAUAACAGUAUGCGUUGUGAUACACUGGCUAAACACAGUCCUGUGAACAGACAAAAAUAUGCCGCCGUGCUUUCCAUUCGGAUACAGGAAAUUGGGAAUAGGUAUUGAGAUUGCUGAAAACGCAAUCAAUUUGUGUUUGUGACUCCAUUUUCAGUCUCUAUAAAUACAUUACCUGCAAAUUCUCAAAUGCAUGCAUAGAGCUGCAAUCAGAUAUUCAACUCAAAAAUCUGAUCUUGUCACUUUACCAGACUUUUCUAAGCCCUCUCUUACCAGAGCAAACUACCCCUCUCUUGACAAUCACACCUUGUUCAUGUCAUAGCUUUUUGGCAGUAUGUACAUUUGUGAACAGUUGUCAAGGAUGAAGUACAGGAAGAGUAAAAUUUCAUAAAAAAUCAGUGAAGAACACCUGAGACCUCACCACAAAUUGCAACCACUGCCAUCAAACCAGGCAGAUGCAUUAGUUACACAAAAACGUGGUCAUAUAUCCCACUAGUUUUAUGGUUUUGUUGUUCUUUUUUAAUGUUUUAAUAAAAAUACUAAAAAAUAACUUUUUAUUACUUAUAUAUUAACUAUUGUAUAUUUUACAAGGGCUCUGAAAGUAAUGUCUCUUGUUUUAUGAUGUUGCCCACGAUGUCCGAAGAGGAUGUUGUUGGCAUGGCAGUAGAGGUUGUACCUUCCCACCAAUAUUCCUUACGUGUUGUUGCUGUGUGACAGAGGCAGCAGAGGUGCAGUCUGACAAAAUGGUGCCUGACAUGGAAGUGUGUAUGGAACAAAGCUGUCACUGAAUUCCUACA
ensembl:lncRNA